UCGAAUAGCUCGUCGCGACACACCAAGAC
rnacentral:piRNA from 1 species